rnacentral:tRNA from 1 species
GGUGGGUAUAGCUCAGUAGUAGAGCACAUGCUUAAUAUGGAUGAGGUCCUGGGUUCAAUCCCCAGUACCUCCA